rnacentral:rRNA from 1 species
AUGAACGCUGGCGGCGUGCCUCACACAUGCAAGUCGAACGGAGUCCAGCCUUUAAGACCUUCGGGUCAAAGAGGGGAAGACUGAGUGGCGGACGGGUGAGUAACACGUGGGCAACCUGGCUCAUAGAGGGGGAUAACAGAGAGAAAUUUCUGCUAAUACCGCAUAAGCACACACUGCCGCAUGGCAGAGGGUGAAAAGAGAAUCGCUAUGAGAUGGACCCGCGUCUGAUUAGCCAGUUGGCAGGGUAAGAGCCUACCAAAGCGACGAUCAGUAGCCGAUCUGAGAGGAUGAACGGCCACAUUGGGACUGAGACACGGCCCAAACUCCUACGGGAGGCGGCAGUGGGGGAUAUUGCACAAUGGGGGGAACCCUGAUGCAGCGACGCCGCGUGAGUGAAGAAGUAUUUCGGUAUGUAAAGCUCUAUCAGCAGGGAAGAUAAUGACAGUACCUGAAGAAGAAGCCCCGGCUAACUACGUG